GCUCCAGUGGUGCAAUGGGUCAGUGCACAGUACUUAUAAGACAGUACUCAUAGGAGACAUGCUGAGGUUGUGAGUUCAAACCUCACCUGGUGCA
rnacentral:tRNA from 1 species